rnacentral:rRNA from 1 species
UACGUAGGGGGCAAGCGUUGUCCGGAUUUAUUGGGCGUAAAGAGCGUGUAGGCGGCUAUGCAGGUCCGCUGUGAAAACUCGAGGCUCAACCUCGAGACGUCGGUGGAAACCGCAUGGCUAGAGUCCGGAAGAGGAGAGUGGAAUUCCCGGUGUAGCGGUGAAAUGCGCAGAUAUCGGGAAGAACACCCGUGGCGAAGGCGGAUCUCUGGGCCUUACCUGACGCUGAGGCGCGAAAGCUAGGGGAGCGAACAGG